GACGAACGCUGGCGGCGUGCUUAACACAUGCAAGUCGAACGGAAAGGCCCUGCUUUUGUGGGGUGCUCGAGUGGCGAACGGGUGAGUAACACGUGAGUAACCUGCCCUUGACUUUGGGAUAACUUCAGGAAACUGGGGCUAAUACCGGAUAGGAGCUCCUGCUGCAUGGUGGGGUUGGAAAGUUUCGGCGGUUGGGGAUGGACUCGCGGCUUAUCAGCUUGUUGGUGGGGUAGUGGCUUACCAAGGCUUUGACGGGUAGCCGGCCUGAGAGGGUGACCGGCCACAUUGGGACUGAGAUACGGCCCAGACUCCUACGGGAGGCAGCAGUGGGGAAUAUUGCACAAUGGGCGGAAGCCUGAUGCAGC
rnacentral:rRNA from 1 species